rnacentral:lncRNA from 1 species
GGUACAUUUUAGGUAUACAAUACAGUUACAUUCAUCAUUGGAAUCUUGUGCCUUUAUAUGAUGUAUCUUGGUUCUUAUUUUUUCCCCAUUCCCCUGCCAUCCCUUCAGCCCCUCCACCCUUCCCUAUUUACAAAGACUUUGUUUCCAUUUUUUUCCUUUUCUCAUAUUUUUUUUCUCCCUUCUUUCCUUUCCCCUACUCCUCCCACUUCCCCUACUCCUUUAGACCUUUUUUUCCUAUUUCAGAAUAAUAGCAAGUUUUACUAAAUGCUUUUUAAGCAUCUAUAAAUAGAGUCAUGUGGUAUUUUUUCUUUUUUUAAGAUUUAAUUAAAUAAUUAAAAAAUCCAUGCUUGGUGCAUUUUGACAACUUUGUUUUUUCUAUAUUAAUUUAUCUGCUUAGAUUGGCAUCUGAACUCAAUUUACAUUUUUCUUAAAAGAUAACCAUUUCGUCUGUUACAUACUUUUCGCUGCUAAAUGAUACAGUCUCUUCUAAAUUGUAUCUACAAAUUGGAGUAAUUUUACUUUUUUCUUAUUUUGCAUAUAUUAUAAUUUUUCUAGAUUAAUUAACAGUUUGCUUAUGUGAGGUAUACAUUUUUUCUUUGGGUGCCCUUUCAGCCUUAUCCCACAGAUUUUGAUAACAUUGUAAUUUCUAGGCUAUUUUUUCUCUUUUCAUACCUUUUGUUCAAUUAUACUUCUGAUAUUUUCCCAAUUUUUCUUCUCUGCUAGUUUGUAAUUUCCUUUCAUAAUUAACCCUUUAAAUUUUAAAGUACAGAUUUUCUUAAAAUCUAAAUCUCACUUGGAUAUUAUAGAACAGCAGCUGUAGAUAUGUAACAAAUGAGUGUGGCUAUGUUUCAGUAACUUUUACCUGCAGAUGAUAUAGGUGAGGGCCCGAUUUAGCCUGUGCUCCAUAUCUGUUAACCCCUUCUUUAGACAGUAUCUACUUACAGGCUUUUCUGAGUAAUGAUCAAAUUAGUAGGUCUUCCUCUUAGCCCCCUGUAUCCAUGACUGAAUAUUAGUUGAUAGUGUAUUUCUUAGACUUCGAUAUUUGUAUGGAUUAAUCUAAGUAUAGAUACAUGGAUACAUUUGUAUGCUUUAAAUUAUGCAUUUUGUCUCCAGCUGUGAAAAUAUGAAUAACAAAUUUACCUCUUCCUUUCCUUUUCAAUAUUUGUUACUUAUGGUAUGUCUACUUUGUAAAGGCUUAUAGCAUUUACAUUUUGUGCCAUCACUCUAAUUUGUGGGUCAAGUAACAUGUUAAAGUUCACAUUGUUGGCAAGCACUAAACACUAGGAUGUGAAUAUGUGUAGCCUAUAUCAUUGACAACAAUAUUGUACCAUCAUUGUCUUAUCCUGUGCAGGCUGCUAUUAACAAAUCCCAUACAUUAAAUGGUUUAUAAAUAUCAAACAUUUAUUUCUCAUGCCUCUGGAGGCCAAGAAGUCCAAUUUCAAGGUACUAGCACAUUCAGAGUCACAGAUUUUGCCUUCUCAUAAAGUUCUCACAUCGUUGAAGGAAAACGUAAGCUCCCUUGGUCCUCUUUUACAAGAGCACUAAUCCCAUUCAUGAUGGCUCCACCUAAUCCCCUCCCAAAGUCCCUAACUUUUCAUACACAUUGGAUGCUAGGAUUUCAACAUACGUAUUUUGGGAAGGAACACAUUCACAUCACAGCAGACAUAAUUUUCUGAAAAUAGGAUUGAUAAUUAAAACCUAAAGAUUAUGACCCAGUCAUUUAUGAAUAUAGAUGUGAACAAACAAUACAGAUUUCGUACAUUAAUAAAAGUACCCAGCUGUAUCAUGGGUAGUUACAUUUUAAUAAAUCUGAUUACAUCAUUCUGGUAAAACCAGUAAAAUGAUAUUUAUUAAUCCCAGUAACACACCAAGAGACAUUUUGAAAUUGACCCAGGUCAAAAAAAGCAGUUAAAAAUCGGGGAAAAAAAGGAUGAUUUCUCAACAUGAAAACAGGUAUCUUAGACCAAUAGCCAAUAUUGUGUUUAAUGGACACAUAAUAGAAGUUAAAAAUAUAACAAAGAUGGCUUCCACAACCAUUUCCCAUUAACAUUGCUGUAAAAGUUGAAACCAGUUCAGUUAGGAAUAAAACAAAUAUGAUAGGUAUAGCUAACUGGAAAGGAAGAAAUAAAGUUAACAAAGACUGAGUCUAGUACUGCCUCAUUUGUAGGUGAUUCCUCACUGAUUUUAUUCAGUUCCAGUUUAACAAGGUUAGGUAGAGGUUUGGUUUUGUUUUGGAUAUGCCCUCAUGUUCAUGUAUCCACGUUCCCUUCCUCCUUUCUUCAGGAGGACUCAUAGAUUACUAGGACCAUUGAAUGACAGCCUGCUUACAAAUGAAAAAUCAAGGAAACUUUCUCUCUUCCAGAACCCUGAAAGUUCUUGUCCUUCCUUUUUCUGUCCAUUCUCCCUCUCUAGUGUGACUUUGCAUUCUAAUCUCCUUUUCUCUCCCUCCCUCCUUUCCUCUCUCUCCUUUUCUCCUUUCUUCCUUCCUGCUAUUCCUCCCUCCCUCCUUCCUAAAAUCAACUAUGGGUAUGCCUUCAAGAAAUUGUUUGGCAAUUUAGACCUAAGAGUUUGGUUUUGAUUUUGCAUCUAUGUUCUUGAAUGAAUAUGAACUGGUGAUGAAAACAAAAAUGGCCAACUAACAGUAAGUGAGAAAGAAGAAAGGAUGGGAUAUGCCCAGAAAACAACAAAAUAAAUACGUAAGACCUAAGCCUGCUAUAUUUACAACCAGGAUUCUAUACAUAACAUAAAGAAUUACUUGACAGGCACUUAAGAAAUGUUAGCUACUAAUUCUUGAGAACCUCCUCUGGGUACCAGUUAAUCACUUUGAAGC